rnacentral:rRNA from 1 species
GAUGAACGCUAGCUACAGGCUUAACACAUGCAAGUCGAGGGGUAGCAGGGUAGCAAUACCGCUGACGACCGGCGCACGGGUGAGUAACACGUAUCCAACCUUCCCAUAACUCUGGGAUAGCCUUUCGAAAGAAAGAUUAAUACCGGAUGGUACUUUUUCAAGGCAUCUUGAGAAAGUUAAAGAUUUAUUGGUUAUGGAUGGGGAUGCGUUCCAUUAGAUAGUUGGUGAGGUAACGGCUCACCAAGUCUUCGAUGGAUAGGGGUUCUGAGAGGAAGGUCCCCCACAUUGGUACUGAGACACGGACCAAACUCCUACGGGAGGCAGCAGUGAGGAAUAUUGGUCAAUGGGCGAGAGCCUGAACCAGCCAAGUAGCGUGAAGGAUGAAGGUCCUAUGGAUUGUAAACUUCUUUUAUAGUAGAAUAAAGUGACCCACGUGUGGGUUUUUGUAUGUAUACUAUGAAUAAGGAUCGGCUAACUCCGUGCCAGCAGCCGCGGUAAACUACGUA